rfam:Brugia pahangi genome assembly, scaffold: BPAG_contig0002079
GCCGGAUUAGCUCAGUGGUUAGAGCGUCUGUCUUGUAAACAGAAGGUCGCAGGUCCGAUUCCUGCAUUCGGCA